CAGUUGGCAGUAAAUGUGGAACGUUGGUCCAAUAAACUUGAAAAAUAAAUCUUGCAAGAAUUGUCGGUGUUCAAGGUCCAAUCAGCAUAUAUGAGGACAACUGUGAAUCUUGAAAAACAUGGCCGCCAUUGGUCGAUCAGUGUUCAGCAGCUAUUAGACAAGGUUAAUGAAGGCCGAUAUUUCUUAAAAUUAUCUUCUUUUUUCUUUGAUUUAGGUUCUUAUAGGAUUGCACAAUAUUAACUAAUAUAUUUUAAUGUCUUUAAGGGCCAUAAACGGGUUGAACCCUGAUAAUUGCUGCUUGUAGCUAUAUUCUGUUUAUUGUUCCUUCCAGAUGGCACAGGGGUGAGUGAACGACCGAGAGGAGGAGUGACAUAUGUAAAUAUUCCCAUCAGCCCAAUGUCCAAAAAGCAGCUGCACUAUAUGGAGCUGGAGCUGCAGGAGCACGGUACCACCGUCAGAGGAAAAGGCACCACGAAAUACGCACAAAUUGACAUCACUGCAACAGAGACUGCACACAGAGUGGGUACCCAGCAUGCACUGGGGCGGGAGGCAGGACUUCAGAAAAUGGAACAGUGGAAAAGAGGAGGGGCACCGCAGUGAUGACAUCAUUUAUCACCUUAAUAAUAAUGAUGCCAUUGCUCUUUACCAUGACAACAGUGAUGUGAAGAAAAAGAGAAAAGUGUGUUGGAAAAGUGUCUCUCAGAAGAGAAACAGUGAGGAAUGUUAAGUUCUAAAAGUGCCAAGAUCUUUCCUCACGCUUCUGAUUUGGACCGCAGGUCUGUGUUAAAGGCUUCAACUCCACUUACUCACAGAGUCACAGGCCAAGCGAAAUCAAACUGAACGGGUGGCAUACGUGCCAGAAAAUCUGAUUGAACUGAGGCAGCCGAAGGCCCAGUUUUAUUAGCUGGUGUUGUGUAGCUAUGAGACUGUGAUCAUGUGGGUUUUGUUGUGUGGGUGUGUGUGUGGGUGAGUGUGAGUGUGAUAAUUCGAGCAUUAGAGCUGUGAGGACAGACCGUGUGAACAUGGCUGAUUAUAGAUGAGUCACCACACGCUCAGCUGCCUGCAGCAACAUGUCUCUUGUUAAUUUGCUUUAAUAUUUGCCCUUAAUCAAUUACAUACUCUAUUGUCCCUUAAUAAAGUAGUGGACAUCUCUGACCACGUAUAAGAGCUGCAAACACGGAACAGCAAAACAUUACCUACUGAGCAAAAAACAGACGGAUCCAUAUGAGGCUCACUGUGGACAGAGUAGUAAAAUUCUUGCAUUCUUUUUGCUAUUUUCCUGGUCAUGAAAAUAGCAGCAAUAUUUAUAAUCACAUCUGCAAGUGCCACAAUCGUAUUCCUUAUUUUUGUAUUUGUGGCUAUGGAAAUUGCCAUGUAUCUUCUUUUGAAUGAAUGAAGGGAAAUUGUGCAUAUACAACGUUGGGCAUUAUUAAAUAUUCAGACGAAUUUAACCAGCUUUUGAAUAUUGUAUAUUUCUUCUCUCAUUUUAUCGGCUUUAUACUAUUGUUUUAUAGUACAAUUAAAACUGAAAAUAUAUUUUUUGUAGUAUUUAUUGUGUAUUUCAUACAAAUUCUUAUUUCCCUCUUUACAUUGCUUUAAUUGUUUUACAGCAUGCUUAAAGAAAAACUUAUUAGCAGAAUGCUAAUGUUAACAUGAAUGAAAGCACGUGGAGCAUCAGAUUUUUUCACCCUUAUUCCCUAUGCACCUUUAGACCUUCAAGGACCACAUCUCCUAGCAGCAUUUUAGAGAGGAGCCACUCUUAUUCAGAAUAAUCUUUGCAUUGUUCAUUACUGUUGCACAGCUGGCAUUUACAUAUAUGCUGAUUGGGUCUCAUACGCAUGUCCGGAAUCACUAUUAAAACCACAGGAGGUCAACAGAGAUAACACCAGAUAUUAGAACAGGUUUGAAAAUGUCUGAGCAGGCUGCUAAGCUGAACUUUGGUGACAUGUAUUAACUGAUUAUCUGAUACAGGAAAAUGCUGCAUCAGUGAAGAUAACCUGUUCAUGACCUUGAGUUCUACUUGCAGUAUUUGGUAAGGUUAAUUUGUUCCCAAAUUUCUCAGUAUUGAGAUCUGAAUAACACAAUUUAAUGUAUAUUUAUAUUUGUUUGUAUAUUGGACGUUAAUAUACUAUAAGUGGCCGUAUAAAAUUGUACGAAAAAGUACAAUAAAAUCGUAUAAAAAGUCUUCAAUUCAGCAGGUCAUGAACAAGAUCUUGCAACAGCAUCCUUGACGUCAGUAUAGCCUUUUCUCUGUAAGAUAAAGAUCCACUUACUGCAAUGAUUUGUGUAUUUAUACCAGUAUCUUGUACAUGCAUGUAAAAUGCUACUCUUUCUCUUGAUUUAUGGAUGACUGACUGUUGACUGUAAACUAUAUGCAGUUCCACCUAGAGACUAUUUUAAAGCGAUGUUAUUUAUACACCGAUUAGCC
ensembl:lncRNA